rnacentral:lncRNA from 1 species
AGAUAGUCUUUGAACUAAUUCUAUUUUAGUGGAUUUCCUUCCUGGCUUGGUAGCCCCCAGACGUAGGUGAGUUGCACCGAACUGGGUUAACAAUUGCUUGUGUGAUUUGUUUUACCAUUUUGUUUUUGUUUAUCCAUUGUUUAUAACCAGAUAUCAGUGUCGUGACAUUACCUUCGACAUCUUAUAUCUGAUACCAGAAUUUCAUGCUCAACUAGAGAAAACACCACAAAAAGGAGGAAUGUUCGAAGUGAAUGGCCUAGACCAUGUGAGUGCUAAAGUCGAU